rnacentral:rRNA from 1 species
UACGAAGGGGGCUAGCGUUGUUCGGAUUUACUGGGCGUAAAGCGCACGUAGGCGGUUUCUUAAGUCGGGGGGUGAAAUCCUGGAGCUCAACUCCAGAACUGCCUUCGAUACUGGGAAACUUGAGUCCGGGAGAGGUGAGUGGAAUUCCCAGUGUAGAGGUGAAUCGUAGAUAUUGGGAAGGAACACCGGUGGCGAAGGCGGCUCACUGGCUCAUUUCUGACGCUCAGGC